rnacentral:rRNA from 1 species
ACUUAUUUAUGUUGGUGUAUAUCUGGUUUAAAUAUUAUUGCUUAAUAGCUUAAUUUGGGGAUUUGUUAUUUAAUCCACCUCUACUAGCUGCUUGUUAUAUGUUUCUUGCUGCGCAUUUUUUAUUUUGGUUAUUAUGUUAACUUUGAAAAUUGAGGACUUAAAGUAAUGUAAAAUAUUUGUUUAUGUGAAAAGGGUUUAGCUUGGGUACACACCGCCCGUCACAACA